rnacentral:rRNA from 1 species
UUAAGCAUAUCAAUAAGCGGAGGAAAAGAAACCAACAGGGAUUGCCCUAGUAACGGCGAGUGAAGCGGCAAUAGCUCAAAUUUGAAAGCUGGCCUUCGGGUCCGCAUUGUAAUUUGUAGAGGAUGCUUUGGGGCAGCCGCCUGUCUAAGUUCCUUGGAACAGGACGUCAUAGAGGGUGAGAAUCCCGUAUGUGACAGGACAUGGCACCCUAUGUAAAGCUCCUUCGACGAGUCGAGUUGUUUGGGAAUGCAGCUCUAAAUGGGAGGUAAAUUUCUUCUAAAGCUAAAUACUGGCGAGAGACCGAUAGCGCACAAGUAGAGUGAUCGAAAGAUGAAAAGCACUUUGGAAAGAGAGUUAAAAAGCACGUGAAAUUGUUGAAAGGGAAGCGCUUGCAAUCAGACUUGUUCUGACUGUUCGGCCGGUCUUCUGACCGGUUUAUUCAGUCUGGGCAGGCCAGCAUCAGUUUCGGCGGUCGGAUAAAGGCCUUGGGAAUGUGGCUCUGCCUUCGGGGAGAGUGUUAUAGCCCAGGGUGUAAUACGGCCAGCCGGGACUGAGGUCCGCGCUUCGGCUAGGAUGCUGGCGUAAUGGUUGUAAGCGACCCGUCUUGAAACACGGACCAAGGAGUCUAACAUCUAUGCGAGUGUUCGGGUGUCAAACCCCUACGCGUAAUUAAAGUGAACGGAGGUGGGAACCGCAAGGUGCACCAUCGACCGAUCCUGAUGUCUUCGGAUGGAUUUGAGUAAGAGCAUAGCUGUUGGGACCCGAAAGAUGGUGAACUAUGCCUGAAUAGGGUGAAGCCAGAGGAAACUCUGGUGGAGGCUCGCAGCGGUUCUGACGUGCAAAUCGAUCGUCAAAUUUGGGUAUAGGGGCGAAAGACUAA